UGUCCUCGUCCACCAGAGGACUUGGGGACUGUUUCCACUCUGCCAGGCGCUGUUGUGAGCCCUCGAAGGGGACACCUUCCUGGACAUCAAGAAAGCACCUAGGAUCUAUGGCCAUGGCCCUCCCGCUCCACAGCUCCCCUCCAAGGCUGGGGCUAGACAUCCAGUUCUUUGUCUCCUGCAUGCCCAGGAGGGAAACCAGGGCAUGCUGGAGCUGGAGCAAAGCCACCAGGAACAAAACAUCUUUUCUUCACCAUGCCCUUCCACUAUGAUGUUCCCUCUUUGGAGCCAGAUGACCAUGGAAUGAACCUUCUGCAACUAAUCGAACCUCUGCCUUCCACGCGCACACCCACAGAUGCGCCUGGACUGCGGUUUCCUCGCGUUUGUUGGUUCAUCGCCGGGUGAUCGUCAGAGCUCUUCCUUCGGGUGAGGCGGCGCGCUCGGCUGGAGCGGCAGUGCUCACGCUGUGCAACAGCUUCCUGGCCUGCUGAUUCGUCCCGCGGCAGCGCCAGUGUGCGCAGACGGCGCCAGAGCAAGUGCUGGGGGAAGGCCGGACGUCAGGCCAUGGACAUCGAACCCAGGUCAUCUCCAGACGAAGCCCGCACACCACGGGUCUUCAGUUCAGCUUUAAGAGCUCCCGCGACUUUCUGUGCGUGGAGGCACAUCGCAGUUGCUGCUGCUCCUGACCUGAGCUGGAUGAAGUUCCGAGUUCACAGCACUGCUGCUCCUCCAGCCCUGGAGGCCCCAUACCAGUCUAGCAAAUUCGUUCACAGUCGUGUCCGUUUGCGUCCACACAGCAUCACGUGCACACAUGCUUUAAGUAACGUUCCCUGAUUUGAACGAACGCUGUUUCUUCCACCACUUAACAGCAUUUAACCACCGUGCUGAUUAAAUCCCUUUAAACUGCA